rnacentral:rRNA from 1 species
UACAGAGGCCACAAGCGUUAGACGGAAUCACUGGGCUUAAAGCGUGUGUAGGCGGGAUGGUAAGUACCUUGUGAAAUCCCACAGCUUAACUGUGGAAUUGCUUGGUAUACUGCCGUUCUUGAGUCACCUAGGGGCAGCUGGAACAGAUGGUGGAGCGGUGAAAUGCAUAGAUAUCAUCUGGAACGCCAAUGGUGCAGACAGCUGCUGGGGGUGUACUGACGCUGAGGCACGAAGCCAGGGGAGCAAACGGG